GAUAAACGCUGGCGGCGCACAUAAGACAUGCAAGUCGAACGGAAAUCGUCUUAACGAAAUGGAAGUAGAAAGUAGAUUUAUCUAAAUAAACAGAAAAAGAAAUUAAGACAUAUGAUUUUAGUGGCGGACUGGUGAGUAACACGUAAGUAACCUGCCUAUUAGAGGGGAAUAACAGUGAGAAAUCAUUGCUAAUACCGCAUACCUUGUAACUGUUGCAUGAUAGAUACAAGAAAGGAGUAAUCCGCUAAUAGAUGGACUUGCGCCUGAUUAGCUAGUUGGUAAGGUAAUGGCUUACCAAGGCGACGAUCAGUAGCCGGGCUGAGAGGCUCUACGGCCACAUUGGGACUGAGAUACGGCCCAGACUCCUACGGGAGGCAGCAGUCGGGAAUAUUGCGCAAUGGAGGGAACUCUGACGCAGUGACGCCGCGUAUAGGAAGAAGGUUUUCGGAUCGUAAACUAUUGUCGACAGGGAAGAAAAAGACAGUACCUGUAGAGGAAGCUCCGG
rnacentral:rRNA from 1 species